rnacentral:rRNA from 1 species
GCCUACGGGGCGCAGCAGUGAGGAAUAUUGGUCAAUGGACGCAAGUCUGAACCAGCCAUGCCGCGUGCAGGAUGACGGCUCUAUGAGUUGUAAACUGCUUUUGUACGAGGGUAAACCCCGAUACGUGUAUCGGGUUGAAAGUAUCGUACGAAUAAGGAUCGGCUAACUCCGUGCCAGCAGCCGCGGUAAUACGGCGGAUCCAAGCGUUAUCCGGAUUUAUUGGGUUUAAAGGGUGCGUAGGCGGCCAGACAAGUCUGAAGUGAAAAUCCAGCGCUUAACGUUGG